AUGCUUAGGAAGUUUUUCUGGGGAAGCAUGAAAGGGGAGAGAAAGGCAGCAUGGGUGUCAUGGGACACGCUUAUAAUGCCGAAAUAUUUGGGAGGUCUGGGCUUUCAGGAUACUGAGUUGUUCACCCUAUGUGUAUUAGCAAAGCAGUCAUGGCAUUUACUAAAGGAUCCAGAGUCGCUGAGUUCAAGACUAUUGAAAGUUGUGUACUACCCAGAUUGUAAUGUUCUUGAAGCAGAAUUGGGGUCUCACCCAUCACAAGUAUGGCGGGCUAUUUGUGCAGACACUGAUGUCCUGAAGCAAGGAAUUGUGAAGAGGAUCGGAAACGGGCAGACAACUAAUAUAUGGAACCAGAAUUGGAUCCUGCGUGAUCACAUGUUACGAGCUCUCCAUCCAAAGUCAUUGACCCCUUCCCCCCUUUCCUGGUGA
rnacentral:rRNA from 1 species